AAAACAAUUUGGAGAAGGACUUGGGAGAUAUGUAACUGGAAUGAAUUUUAACUCUAUAAUGGCAUCUAAUUCAGCUGUGGAAAUUGAAAAUGAGAGGGGCAAAGAAACCCUACUAGAAAGUUUGUUCAUUCACCUGAAGAUGUUCAGGCAAGGGAUUCAUCUAGUGACUCAUCUUUUGAACCAAGACCAUUGACUUUAAAAGCUAUUUUUGAAAGAUUCAAAAAAAAGAAACGUAAAAAGAGGAAAUAUAAACCAACAGGAAGACCAAGGGGAAGACCAAAAGGGAGAAAAAACACUAGACGUUCCCAAAUAAAUAAGAAACAAGUUCAAGAUAAAGGAUCUGGGUUCCCAUUUUUAGAAUCUGAGAAUGCAAGAAAACCAUUACCUUGGAGAAAAAUUUUAACCUUUGAGCAGUGGCAAGAGGAUUUUUCAACUACCUUGAAAAACUGAAGUAUGAAUACUACCUCAAGGAAUCCUUGAAACAAAUGAAUGUUGGUGAAGAUUUAGAAAAAGAAGAUUUUGACAGUCGUAGAUACAAAUACUUGGAUGAUGAUGGUUCUCUCUCUCCUAUUGAAGAAUCAGAAACAGAGGAGGCUGCAACAAAUCUUGAACAUAAUGAUGAAUGUGAUAUCAAAUUGGUGGUAAGUAACAUUUUUUCCCAUUUCAGGAGGAUAGCAGUUGUACAGGAAGAAUUUAAUCCACUAGUUAGUAUCUUAGAUUCUGAACUUAAUUUUUGA
rnacentral:lncRNA from 1 species